GACCCAUGGCUCCAGUACCGUCUUCCCCUCGUCGCGCAACGACCUCAACUGAACCACCGACAUAGCCGACUUGGCCGAGACCUGUUGGGACCCACUGUGGCCAUCCUGGGUCGGACUCCCCUGCUCCCUAUAUAGGCCGCCCGAAUCGCUGUCAGGUCCUUCAACCAUCUUGGUCAAUCUUGCCAUCGCCGAGCGCGCUGAGGGAGAAGGGGGCCGUCACAGUCGGAAUUGAAUUUGGCUGCAGCGUAGGCCUUCGAUCGGGACGGGUAGCUUCACCAAGCUUCACAGAUCACGAAUGUUGCUUUUCCUGGGGGAUUACGCUCCGGGCCAUCGGGAAUUGAUCGCUGGAGCAAACAAUCGGCCGCAGAUCCGCUGCUCGCCGUGAACCAUCCCCAUCGCGACGCCAUCACCGGUAAGAUCACUUUAUUGUCGCCCGCCUUGUCUUUCUCG
rnacentral:lncRNA from 7 species